UACGUAGGGUGCAAGCGUUGUCCGGAAUUAUUGGGCGUAAAGAGCUCGUAGGCGGCUUGUCACGUCGGGUGUGAAAGCCCGGGGCUUAACCCCGGGUCUGCAUUCGAUACGGGCAGGCUAGAGUGUGGUAGGGGAGAUCGGAAUUCCUGGUGUAGCGGUGAAAUGCGCAGAUAUCAGGAGGAACACCGGUGGCGAAGGCGGGUCUCUGGGCCGAUAUUGACGCUGAGGAGCGAAAGCGUGGGGAGCGAACAGG
rnacentral:rRNA from 1 species